AGCCCCUCCCAACUGGACCUCUCCUGGGACAGCAUGUGCUCUGCAUGGAAUAACAAGGUUAAAUGGACAAGGCUGAAUGGCCCUGUGAUGGGGAGUGCCUUUAAGCCACAUGACGGAAAUGAAACAGGAGCCAUAAUGACCAUGACUGGAGGAGAAUCAGAUUCUGGCCUGGCCUGGUUCUGUGAGAUACCUUAAAUCAUACUUUCUGUAGCAUCCCUUAAAGGUGGGUAGAGAGAAGGAGAGAGUUAAGUGUGGGUGCAGUCAUCCUCAGGAUGGUUGAUCUCUAAAUCUAUUCUUGGGCAAAAGUUUAGAGAAAAGCUGAAUCACUCAGCCCAGAGGAAGCCUGAGGAGGCAUAAAGAAGUCUUGGAAAUCCCCUGAAAAAAAGAAUCAGAUAUCACCUCCAUAGGAAGCUGUCUCUCUGCUUUAGAGCAAGAAUCAACAAACUUUUUCUGUAAAGAGCCAGAUAUCUGAGUCUUCUCAGAAGCAGAUGUCAAGACAAGAUUAUACACUCAAGAUAUAUUGGGUAACAUCUGUGAAACAUAAUGGAGAAGAAACAGGAGAAAGCAGGGAGAACUUUUGCACCAUGAUGCAGGACUGGCACCUCAGAAGGAGAGUGGGAAGGAAAGAGGAUUGAGUAGGAAAAGCCUUAAAUUUCAGCACCAUUCUAAGAAAGCUUCAGCAAGACUAUUGGGUAAUCCUUGAGCCAGUGACCAGUUGAGAGUUCUACACGUCACAGUAAUGAACUUGCAUUAGUGCCUCCAUGGUGCUUUUAAUCAUCGGCUGGCUGCCACCUGGGAAACUUGGCCUUUGUGGAUCCAGAGGGUCACCAAUUGGUAUCAUGACUCAUUUAUGCUCCCCACAGAUGAGAUCUGACCAUUUCAUGGCCUCCAACCCUUGGUCAAGUUGAGUAUCAGAUUAUAUGAUAUUGUCUGUUUGCACUUCAUAUUCUGUAAAUUUUCUAUGCAUUUUCUUUUCCCAGAUUUCUAUUAGAUUGACUUUUUUCUUUCAAAUUCAUAAGAGCUUUGUUUGUGUAUAAAAACACAAACUCCAUAUUUUGUCAUAUAUACCACAAAUAUUUUCUCUCAGCUUACCAUUUAUCUUUAGAUUUUGUAUGUGUGGUAUUUUUUUUGUUUUACAACUUCUUAACAUUUUGAGCUGUUUAAAUAUGUUUCCCUAACUUUUCCCCCUAAAUCAUGCAUUAUACAAAAUAUUCUCUUAAAUUUUCUUCUAAUGUCUUACAGUUUUGUUUACACUUAUAUCUGUAAUUCAUUUAGAUUUUUUUUUUUUUUUGGUGUAUGUAUACCCAAUAAAGUAGGAGCUUGAAUUUGUUUUCUUCUAGCUGGAUAGCCAGCAUAUGAGUAUUACUCAUUAAAAUAUCACUCUUUUCCCAUGGUAUUGGAAUGCCAUCUUUAUUCUGGUUAAGCUGAGAUUCCCUAGGAACAUGUAAUUUUGAUAUCCUUUAGUACAAAUAUUCAUUUCAGUGCCUGGAAGAGAACAAAACAUUCAGCUCUUUCUGAGAAAACAAAUGAUACUAGGUUGAUACUUGUGUGAAGCAAGUGCCAAUUCAAGCGUUAGUAUAAGAUUGCCAGGCUUAAUAUAGGUACUGUUUCUAUUUUUUUUAAAAAGAAAGGAAAAAGAAAGUAAAAGUUCUGCGUCCAAGUGGUGUCACAAUGAUGAUUUUAAUGUUAAAUUUGACUAUAUGGUUUUUUAGAAAAGACGGGAAGAAUUGUAGCCAAAAUAUAUGGGAUGGUGUAAGUUCUCGGCUAAAGAAAGUUUUUAACGUGUUUGCUACUUCAAAAAUGUAAAUAUUCUAAUAAUUAGUUUAUGAAAAAUUAGAUAACUAUAGUAAUAUAUAA
rnacentral:lncRNA from 1 species